rnacentral:rRNA from 1 species
CCGGGAUGAAGCUCAAAUUUAAAAUCUGGCGUCUUUCAGGCGUCCGAGUUGUAAUCUAUAGAGGCGUUUUCCGCGCCGGACCGCGUCCAAGUCUCUUGGAAUAGAGUAUCAAAGAGGGUGACAAUCCCGUACUUGACGCGACAACCGGUGCUCUGUGAUACGUUCUCAAUGAGUCGAGUUGUUUGGGAAUGCAGCUCUAAAUGGGUGGUAAAUUCCAUCUAAGGCUAAAUAUUGGCGAGAGACCGAUAGCGAACAAGUACCGUGAGGGAAAGAUGAAAAGCACUUUGGAAAGAGAGUUAAACAGCACGUGAAAUUGUUAAAAGGGAAACGAUUGAAGUCAGUCGUGUGAAAGGUAUUCAGCCGUCUCUGGCGGUGUAUUUGCCUUUCACGGGUCAACAUCAGUUUGAUCCGGUAGAAAAAGGCGGGAGGAAGGUGGCACCCUCGGGUGUGUUAUAGCCUCCUGUCAUAUGUGCCGGACCAGACUGAGGAACGCAGCUUGCCGCAAGGCCGGGGUUCGCCCACGUACAAGCUUAGGAUGUUGACAUAAUGGCUUUAAACGACCCGUCUU